AUUGAACGCUGGCGGCAGGCCUAACACAUGCAAGUCGAACGAGUGGCGGACGGGUGAGUAAUGUCUGGGAAACUGCCUGAUGGAGGGGGAUAAAUACUGGAAACGGUAGCUAAUACCGCAUACCAUCGGAUUUGCCCAGAUGGGAUUAGCUAGUAGGUGGGGUAAAGGCUCACCUAGGCGACGAUCCCUAGCUGGUCUGAGAGGAUGACCAGCCACACUGGAACUGAGACACGGCCCAGACUCCUACGGUGGGCAGCAGUGGGGAAUAUUGUACAAUGGGCGCAAGCCUGAUGCGGCCAUGCCGCGUGUAUGAAGAAGGCCUUCGGGUUGUAAAGCACUUUAAGUUGGGAGGCGUUACCAACAGAAUAAGCACCGGCUAACUUCGUGCCAGCAGCCGCGGUAAUAC
rnacentral:rRNA from 1 species